UGGCGUAACUCCUGGCUGUUAGAUGGCCAUUCGAUUGUAGGGAUGCUUUUCGCCAGUAGCUACGUCUUUGUUGUCCUUGCAGUAUAGCAGGAAGCACCAU